GUUGAAACAUGCCAACAACGUUACUAUCAGAGAGAGCAUGCAAAAUGAUGUGUGCAAAAUCUUAUCAAAACUUCAAGAAAUGAAAGAGAAGAAGGAAACCCAGCUAACCAGCAUGGACAGACUUGCCAAUACGAUCACAACGAUAGAAGAGGAGAUGGUGCGACUCCGCAAAAAGUAUGAGAAGGCUGUGCAGAGGCGAAAUGAAAGGUAAGGGCCAGGAACCUAGUGUGAGAACAGGGUACCAAAGUAUGUGACUUAGAUAUGUCACCCUUACUCCUCCUAGAUUUGACAGGAGUGAGGGACAUGUGACAUUCAGAUUUCAUUAGCCUUUAGAGGAGGUCUUGCCUAAAAAUAAGAACUGCUAUCCUUGUAAAUGAAACAGGCAAAGAGGAGGCGAUGGGAGGUUAUUCACUUUUAAGAUCAACACCUUUUCUCAGGCUACCAUUCAGGAUAUCUCUGAUAAUAUCAAAUUCUUUUCACAUAAUUGACAUAAACAAACUGGUAUUCAUUUUGGUGACAAGUUUGAUCUUAUUACAUUUAUCAAAGCCAUUCUCUUAGCUCAUUUUCUCAACAAUAAGACCCUUAAAUGGUCUUAUUUCUUCCAGGCUGCAAUUGUGCCAUUAAUAAAUUUAUAUUCUAGCAGUUUCCCCCCAAGUUGCUUGUGCCCUGAGAAACUGGAAUGUGUGGUUGUAGAGCCCUGUAGUAAUGAUGCCUGGUAUCUGAUUUUUUGUUCUGUGUGAGGCAUUGGAGUGCUUGACCAUCAGACUACAAAAAGACCGUAAAACAUUGCCCCUCACUUCUGCUGAGACUAUUGACAUGAGAAACUUUGACAGAGAAAUAGUUAAAGGUGGAAUUCUGGGUAAUGCAUACACAACGGGUAUAGAAAGACCUUUAGGGUCCUUGAGUAGCACUUUUUCUAAGGGUAGAUGAAUGUGUUCUCUGAGCGGAGGUAAUAUAUCUUAUUUGGUUCCUAAAACAGACCAAAGCAUUUAAGCAAAUGCUUUGCUCCCAGGCCCCAGCCAGACCAGAGCUACAGGAGUUAGUUAGAAAUUCCUUGUUUCUUUCCCAUAGUCUCCUCUCAAGGAGGGGGGUCUUAGGGGUCACCCCCACUCAUCAGCAUGAUUACAAAGGGCAGAUUUUUGCCUGUUUAUGGGGAAAUUAGCAUCAAAAAAUAUUCAACUUUAAAAGAACCUAGUGGGCCUGGCAACUUGAUAUAGAACAGAAUUACCCCCAAAACACAUUCUCUGGCCCCCUGCCUGUGCACUUCUGGUCAGGAUUUUGUUGGCAAAUCUGGCCCAAGAACAGGGUCUGCAGAAAAUCAGACUAUGGGAUUACUUUGUUCACACAUGGGGAAUGACAUUCUUUCCUGCCCCCCAGAAAACCUUUGAAACCCACAGAGACACUGCAGCCAACUAAUCACAUGGUUGGCCUAAGUGUCAAGCUGCUAAACACACCUCCAGGAAAAUCCAGUGUGCAGUUUUAACUAGAAAAACAUCAGUAAGUAUCUCCCACCCUCUGGAAUUUUCCUGUGUUGUGUGUUUGUAUGUACCCAAAGCUAGAGGGAACUACAGUUAACUAGUGAAACAGUAGCUUUAGCAUUCACUUAGCCUCUUCCUUUGAAUUUGACCACAGUGGUGUUCAGCUGAUUGAGCGAGAAGAAGAAGUGUGCAUUUUUUAUGAAAAAAUAAAUAUCCAAGAGAAGUUGAAACUAAAUGGGGAAACUGAAAUACAUGUCCUGGAAGAAAAAAUCCGAUUCCUAAAACUGAAGAUAGCCGAGAAGCAAAGACAGAUUAGCGUGACAAAGAAGUUACUGCCAGUCAAGAGUGCCUUGGAUGCCGAUCUUGCGGUGCUCCAGAUUCAGGUGGGAGAGCUGUCCUGGGACA
rnacentral:lncRNA from 1 species